rnacentral:rRNA from 1 species
CCCCUAGUAACUGCGAGUGAAGCGGGAAGAGCUCAAAUUUGAAAUCUGGCGGCUCUGCCGUCCGAGUUGUAUUCUGGAGAAGCGUCUUCCGUGCCGGACCGUGUACAAGUCCCUUGGAACAGGGCGUCAUAGAGGGUGAGAAUCCCGUCUUUGACACGGACCGCCGGUGCUAUGUGAUGCGCUCUCGAAGAGUCGAGUUGUUUGGGAAUGCAGCUCAAAAUGGGUGGUAAAUUCCAUCUAAAGCUAAAUAUUGGCGAGAGACCGAUAGCGAACAAGUACCGUGAGGGAAAGAUGAAAAGCACUUUGGAAAGAGAGUAAAACAGUACGUGAAAUUGUUGAAAGGGAAACGCUUGAAGUCAGUCGCGUCUGCCGGAACUCAGCCUUGCUUCUGCUUGGUGCACUUUCCGGCCUGACGGGCCAGCAUCGGUUUCGGGCGGCGGACACUGGCGCGGGGAAGGUGGCAGCUCCGGCUGUGUUAUAGCCCCUCGUCGCGAACGCCGCCUGGGACCGAGGAAUCCGGCGCAAGCCUGGGAUGUUGGCGUAAUGGCUUUAAACGACCCGUCUUGAAACACGGACCAAGGAGUGCUACGUGCUCGCGAGUGUUUGGGUGGAAAACCCAGACGCGAAAUGAAAGUGAAAGUCGAUACCCCUCGCGGGGGCACCGACGCCCGAGCCUGAUGUUUUCGGACGGCCUUGCGGUAGAGCGAGUGCGUUGCGACCCGAAAGAUGGUGAACUAUUCCUGAGGAGGGCGAAGCCAGGGGAAACCCUGGUGGAGGCUCGUAGCGGUUCUGACGUGCAAAUCGAUCGCAGGACUUGGG